GACGAACGCUGGCGGCGUGCUUAACACAUGCAAGUCGAACGGUAAGGCCCUUCGGGGUACACGAGUGGCGAACGGGUGAGUAACACGUGGGUGAUCUGCCCUGCACUUCGGGAUAAGCCUGGGAAACUGGGUCUAAUACCGGAUAGGACCACUGCCUGCAUGGGUGGUGGUGGAAAGCUUUUGCGGUGUGGGAUGGGCCCGCGGCCUACCAGCUUGUUGGUGGGGUGAUGGCCUACCAAGGCGACGACGGGUAGCCGGCCUGGGAGGGUGACCGGCCACACUGGGACUGAGAUACGGCCCAGACUCCUACGGGAGGCAGCGGUGGGGAAUAUUGCACAAUGGGCGCAAGCCUGAUGCAGCGACGCCGCGUGAGGGAUGACGGCCUUCGGGUUGUAAACCUCUUUCAGUAGGGAAGAAGCGAAAGUGACGGUACCUACAGAAGAAGCACCGGCUAACUAUGUGCCAGCCGCCGCCGUAA
rnacentral:rRNA from 1 species